rnacentral:rRNA from 1 species
UACAGAGGUCCCAAGCGUUGUUCGGAUUCAUUGGGCGUAAAGGGUGCGUAGGCGGCGCGGUAAGUCGGGUGUGAAAUCUCGGAGCUUAACUCCGAAACUGCAUUCGAUACUGCCGUGCUUGAGGACUGGAGAGGAGACUGGAAUUUACGGUGUAGCGGUGAAAUGCGUAGAUAUCGUAAGGAACACCUGUGGCGAAGGCGGCAUCCUGGACCGACAUUGACGCUGAACGGCGAAAGCUAGGGGAGCAAACGGG